AAGCGUAUCCCCGCAGGCUGGCUGUACCCGGUUUGGAGGCAAACCGGAUGUGACGUGUGCCAGUGGCGUACUCCCUGCCCCCAGAUAGGUACUUGUACGCCUAGGGAAAGACGCUGCUAGGUGCUGCUGCUAAAUCCCUGUGGUUUCUGCCAGCCACAUGCGGCCAUUGCCGGUUCACGUAGGUUGGUUCGCGUGGUCUUGUUACGCCUCGCUGGAUCGUGUUCAGUCAUGCCGUCCUUGCGCGGCGCGAUUGUCGGUGAGUCAGGUUAAAUUCUUAAAUAGGUCGCGCCUGCGCCUAAUUGAGUCUAUAAAAGCCUGCACAUUGAGUUUUGCUAGCUACAAUGCACUGCGGCUGGCGUGAGCUGUCUCCACGAUGCGCUUCGAGCGUGUCGAUUUCGCCGUUCUUUAUGUUGGCGUUAACGACCUUGAAAGCAACAUGGAUCCACAAGAAAUGUGCGACAACAUCAAGGCCUUGAUUGUUCAACGAGACGGCCCCCGUCGUGCUGGUUUUCAAGGUGCUCCCUCGCUGCCUAGAAGAUGCUGAUGCGAAAUAGAAAAUGCAAAAACGUCGCUUGCUCAACCGCAAAUUGACGGCUACGCUGAAGCGCAUGCCGUGUCUGCGGAAUUUGAACCCCCGAGGUAUGGACCCCCUUUUUCCAGCGGCAUGCCGUUACAUACCGUCAGGAACACGCUUGGCUUAUUUCUGACUCGCUUUCCAGAGUUCCUUGGAAAAUCCUCCCGUGCACCUGCCAUGUACAUUGCCCUCCUCCUCGAUGUGGCGUGCAAGAUGGCAGCAGCAGCUGUGGGAACAGUUGAAGAGAAGAAAGGUCCACUUUAUAAUAGGUUGUAUGUAAAUAAAACUGAUCGACCUCAACUGAUUCGGCUUCCACUUUUGUCAAG